GUUUAUGGCCAUAUCACCUUGAAUGCACCCAAUCUUAUCUGAUCUUGAGAGCUACGCAGGGUUGAGCCAGGUUAGUACUUGGAUGGCAGAAGCA
ensembl:rRNA 5S_rRNA 5S ribosomal RNA